rnacentral:rRNA from 1 species
ACCGAGCAACGCCGCGUGAGUGAAGAAGGUUUUCGGAUCGUAAAGCUCUGUUGUAAGAGAAGAACGAGUGUGAGAGUGGAAAGUUCACACUGUGACGGUAUCUUACCAGAAAGGGACGGCUAACUACGUGCCAGCAGCCGCGGUAAUACGUAGGUCCCGAGCGUUGUCCGGAUUUAUUGGGCGUAAAGCGAGCGCAGGCGGUUAGAUAAGUCUGAAGUUAAAGGCUGUGGCUUAACCAUAGUACGCUUUGGAAACUGUUUAACUUGAGUGCAAGAGGGGAGAGUGGGAUUCCAUGUGUAGCGGUGAAAUGCGUAGAUAUAUGGAGGAACACCGGUGGCGAAAGCGGCUCUCUGGCUUGUAACUGACGCUGAGGCUCGGAAGCGUGGGGAGCAAACAGGAUUAGAUACCCUGGUAGUCCACGCCGUAAACGAUGAGUGCUAGGUGUUAGACCCUUUCCGGGGGUUUAGUGCCGCAGCUAACGCAUUAAGCACUCCGCCUGGGG